rnacentral:rRNA from 1 species
GCUCACUAAGACCACACUAAAGGACAAAAAGACCCUCUGAAGCUUUAUAGGGAUAAAAUCUAGUAUCUCCAUGCCCCCCAUCACCCAAGACACAAGAAGCGAGAAAGACAGGCAUUACUACUAUGCAACGACCGAAGUUAGUCUAAAG